rnacentral:tRNA from 1 species
GGUCCUGUGGUCCAGUGGUCAAGACUCAUCGUUGUGGUUCACUGUCUACUCUCCGAUGCAACCCGUGUUCGAUUCACGGCAGGGCCA